rnacentral:rRNA from 1 species
AUUGAACGCUGGCGGCAUGCUUUACACAUGCAAGUCGAACGGCAGCGGGGGCUUCGGCCUGCCGGCGAGUGGCGAACGGGUGAGUAAUGCAUCGAAACGUGCCCAUGUCGUGGGGGAUAACGUAGCGAAAGCUACGCUAAUACCGCAUACGUCCUGAGGGAGAAAGCGGGGGAUCUUCGGACCUCGCGCGAUUGGAGCGGCCGAUGUCGGAUUAGCUAGUUGGUGGGGUAAAGGCCCACCAAGGCGACGAUCCGUAGCGGGUCUGAGAGGAUGAUCCGCCACACUGGGACUGAGACACGGCCCAGACUCCUACGGGAGGCAGCAGUGGGGAAUUUUGGACAAUGGGCGCAAGCCUGAUCCAGCCAUGCCGCGUGAGUGAAGAAGGCCUCGG